CAGAUAAUUAAAAGGCUACAGAUAGCCACAAACAGAUGUAAGGCAUUGUGUUUUAGUGCCAGAGCUGUUUCACCAGUGGCAAUUUAGAAGUUUGACAUGAGUCCCAGCAUGCCCAAAUUGUGCUCUCAGCUGAACAAGAGCAGGAGCAGAGCUGUGGCAGGAACUGCAGGUGGAGAGCCUGGGACAGUGAAGAGAUCCAAACAGAUACGUGCACUGUGUCUUCUGAUGAGGGGAGGGAAGAGGAAGGAAGCCCAGCAGACAGAUCUCAUCUUUCCAGGCCCGCAGUCUGCAGAGGAGCUGCAGAGAGCACUGCCACAGCCCAUUUCACCUCCAGACGAGGGAAGGGAAGCUGGCACUGUGCCUGGAGAAGCCAUUUCAGAUGCUUACUGGGUUG